CACCUUUUCAUGGAUCGAUGAUCUCCACUGCUGGUAGGUGUGGUAUGAAGCUCUCGCUAAUGCCAAGUAGCCACACAGAUCGUCUGGCCUCUACAGAUUGUCCACUUGAACUUUGAUCGGAUCUUCCUUCGUGAGAGUGCUAGCUCGCGCCGAAGGCUCUGGAUGGCUGAUCCAAGCUUCUUUCUUCGGAUCUUCCGAACUUUUCUAGAUCAAAAAAUGAAGCUUUAUGAGGAAGUGAUGGUGUGAAAGAUUGGACAAGACUCAAUCUUAUAUUUUCUUCUCACAAAAUCUAGAGUUGAGACCUUAGAACCGAUAGCUCACACCUG
rnacentral:lncRNA from 1 species